GUAGGUGGCAAGCGUUGUCCGGAAUUAUUGGGCGUAAAGCGCGCGCAGGCGGUUCUUUAAGUCUGAUGUGAAAGCCCACGGCUCAACCGUGGAGGGUCAUUGGAAACUGGAGAACUUGAGUACAGAAGAGGAAAGCGGAAUUCCACGUGUAGCGGUGAAAUGCGUAGAGAUGUGGAGGAACACCAGUGGCGAAGGCGGCUUUCUGGUCUGUAACUGACGCUGAGGCGCGAAAGCGUGGGGGAGCAAACAGGAUUAGAUACCCUGGUAGUCCACGCCGUAAACGAUGAGUGCUAAGUGUUAGGGGGUUUCCGCCCCUUAGUGCUGCAGCUAACGCAUUAAGCACUCCGCCCUGGGAGUACGGCCGCAAGGCUGA
rnacentral:rRNA from 1 species